rnacentral:rRNA from 1 species
CCCUUAGAUGUUCUGGGCCGCACGCGUGCUACACAGAGUGGAUCAGCGGGUCAGGUUGCGCGAAAGCGUUUCCUAAUCUUUAAAUCCGCUCGUGAUGGGGAUUGACGGUUGCAAUUUUCUGUCAUGAACGAGGAAUACCUUGUAAGCGCGGGUCAUCAUCCCGCGCUGAAUACGUCCCUGCCCUUUGUACACACCGCCCGUCGCUCCUACCGAUUGAGUGGUCCGGUGAGGCUUUGGGAUCUGAGCGGAAAGAGCGUUUCGCUGUUUCUGCUCGGAAAACUCAGUCGAACCUUAUCAUUUAGAGGAAGGAGAAGUCGUAACA